UAACCUUUGACCUGAGUCAGGUGAGGUUAGUUCAGCUAAUGAAUCCAGUCACACUGGCUUCUACCCAUAAGCCCGCUAGGCUGGUCUCUCUGAGUGUGGACUACAUGGUCACGCUCAGAAGUUUCCCCGUUGGUGAAAGACAUCCUCCAGGAAUGCACAUGGUGUCUUAUCUUCCAAUGAGCUGCAUCUGA
rnacentral:lncRNA from 1 species